GCGCCCUUAGCUCAGCUGGAUAGAGCACCAGACUACGAAUCUGGGGGUCAGAGGUUCGAAUCCUUUAGGGCGCGCCA
rnacentral:tRNA from 1 species